UCGCUGAGAGUGGAUCGGUUUUGCACCUC
rnacentral:sRNA from 1 species